AUGGGCAAGGCUUCCUUCUCCUUCCAGAUGGUGAAUAGUGUCUUAUUUCAUGGUGUUCUAAAGUUUCUUUUCAUGUUAUCAAGUAAUUGGAGCAUGACCCUGACACUGCAUUAAACACACCAACUUCUUUCCACAUGCAGUGAUCAAUUUCAAGCACUAUUUAACAAUAAAUCAUAUUCCAUUUCUUUGUCACUCUUUAGAAGGCUCGCUUUAGACUGGUCUCUUCUCUCUGGUCCCUUUUCCUAGUCUUUCUAUGUAGUUCCACAUGGUCACUACUCACUGAGGAAUUCAGUGUCUCUAUAAUGGCUCAGGGAAAUCUUAAAGGUUCCAUGUUUAUGUCUAGAUUUGCUUCGUACACAUCAGUGUGAUUCAUUUUUGUAUCAUAUUUCAAUUAUGCAUAGAGGUGUUGAACAGGUAUGCUGUUUGACCAAAUGAACUAUCUGCUCACCUGUUUUUCCUAGUUGUAUUCUCAUCUCACUUUGUCUUCUGCAAUCUCUCUUUAUGUGUCUGAUUUCUCUGUUGAAUUCUAUGAUUUGAAUUUACUUCUGAGAAUGUCACAGGAGUUUCUCAUUCCUUGUCAGAUAUAGCUUUUAAGAGGAAGCCAAAUAUUUGUUCAUUGUUCUGUAACUAUGUCCUAUGAAAUACUUGUAAUGGAUUCAGCAUCAUAAAAAAACCAAUGCAUUUUCCUAUUUCAUGAGUUCAAAAUGAAAUAAGUUCAUUAGGAAUAAAUUUCUUCAAGGUUUUAUAAGAUAGGAUUUUACAACCAAAAGUAUAUUAUCUGAGUCUAGUUAAUUUAUGAAUAAAAUUAUAAGCAUAUAAAUUGUCAUUGACUAAUCAAUAAGAUCAUUUUUAUACUAAUCUAUUGUGUGUUUAUGUAUGUUGCUAUAUUAAUGUAUGCAAAGAAGGGCACAUGGAAGACAAAAGAUAACUUUCAGUAUUAGGUUUGUCUUAGGGUUUUACUGCUGUGAACAGAUACCAUGACCAACCAACUCUUAUAAAGACAACAUUUAAUUGGGGAUAUCUUACAGGUUCAGAGGUUCAGUCUACUAUCAUCAAGGUGGGAACUUGGCAGCAUGCAGGCAGGCAUGGUGCAGGAGGAGCUGAGAGUUCUACAUCUUCAUCUGAAGUCUACUAGCAGAAUACUGGCCUCCAGGGAGCUAGGACUAGGGAUUUAUAGUUCACACCGACAGUGACACACCCACCCCAACAAGGACACGCCAACUCCAGCAAGGCCAUGUCUUCAAUUCAUACCACUCCCUGGGUCCAGCAUAUACAAACCAUCACAGGGUUCCAUUCCUCUACUCAAAUUGUCAGACUUGGUGGCAAUCAUCUUUACUUAAUGAGCCAUUUCGCUGGCCCACGUAGGACAUGAGUUUAACAGAAUAUAGCCCUUGUUUCAUUCCAAUUUAAUCUAUUUAAGUUUCAUGGAUUCAUAAAAUAAGGGAAGCUGUUGUGUUCAUGUUGCCAUUUUGUACUCUCAGCGAGCGAACUUUAUGUGGUUGUGGUCUGCAGCUACAACGUACAAGGAACUAGAAGAGAGGAAAUUCAAUGACAAGGGAGCACAUGUGUCCCUAAAGUUCUGCAACUCAGAGUCCUCUGGAGAAACUGUGUGCUUACUUAUCUUCUUAUUGGUUAUAUCCUUAGUUUUAAAAUAUUAUUUAUUUUCUGAGAAUUUUAUACAUUAGUACUGUAUUUCUAUUAUUUCUCUUCUUUCUAUCCUCCCUCCAACUGUUCCCAUGGGCCUUUCAUUCCUUAAGUUCAUUACCUCUUAUUCUUUAUUUACACACACACACACACACACACACACACACACACACACACUAUAAAAACCUGUCAAGUUUAUUUAGUGUUGCUCAUAUGUGUAUGCGUUUUGGGCUGACCCCUUGGGACUGAAUCUCCUAUCAGAGAACUUGUUCCCAGAGCUGAAUUAUUCUUCCCUUAGCAAUAGCUAAUUCCCUUAGCUCUUCACCUAGGGGUGGGUUCUUGUGAGAAUUCCUUUCUCCACUUUCUCACACAAUAGGUAUUAUCAUUUUUCAGGUCUUCAUUGUGUAGCCUUGCUUAUGAGAUUUAAUGGGUCCAGUGUUUUUCUGAUAUCUAGAGGACACAGCUUCCAGCAGAUGCCAUGAUUCUCCGGUUCUUAUAGUGUUUCAGCAACUUUUCCUGUAAUGUUCCCUGAGCCAACAUGUAGAAGUUGGAUUGUAGUUGUAUAUAUUGAGAUUGCAUACCACCUGGUCAUUUGUUCUUUUUAUUUUGAUCAGUUGCAUCUGUCUAUAAUGAUCUUCAUCUGUGACAGACUCUUCUUUGAUGAAGAGUCCAUCCAGAUUUAAACUUCACUAGUAAAUGUGAACCCGACUGGACUGAUUGCUAAAAAGAUGUUCCUCAUCUAGACUUUAUUUUCUGUCAAUAGAGACUCUCUAUUGUUGCCCUUCAUUUCCUUCUCUCCAUUUGUUGUUAUCACUGAUUUAAUCAAGACCAGGCACAGUGGCACGCAGGCGAUUAGCAUUCUAGACAUAGGGUAGGGGAGGAAAGCUUCAGUGUUGGGGCCAGUCUGACCUACAUAUUAAGUUCAAGGCUGGCUAAGGCUCCUUAGUGAAAUCUGUCUCAACAGAUCAAAACCAAGGUAAAGAAUAUGAAACAAAAACCUUAUUGGGAAUUGGAAAUAUUUUUUGAACAACAAAAAAAUAUUUGAAAUAUAUUUUUUGUGCAAAAUAUACAUUUCAGGGACCUGGGAAAGAGCUCAGUGGGUAAAUUUGCUUGCUGCUAAAUAUGAGCUGACCACCUGAGAUCCACAUGAUGAAAAUGAGCCAGCUCCCAAAAAUUGUGCUGUGACCUCCACAAUACCCUAUAGCAUUUACAAACAAAUACAUGUGUAUGUAUUAAAAAUCCUGUAUGCAAUAAAAAUUUUUAAAUACACAUUUUAGGGAGACACACACUAAUUCUAGCCACAGAGGAAUGAAUGCUGUAGUUGAAUAUGAACUGAAGGUAUAUUUAACCAUAAUGUAUAGUAACUGUGCAGCUGCUAUGGGGGAUGUUAUAUAUUUCCUACAUUCAUCAGCUGCUUUUAGAAGAAUCAUAUCUAGUGACAGAACAUUAUCUCAUUGUAUCUCAUACAUUUUACAUCACAGCAAUAGUAGAUUCCUGGGAAGAGAUUAAAUCAUAAUAUUCAUAUUGGAUGGGCAUUUCUCUUCACCUAGCUUUUCUUUUCACUUAAAUUAAGAUUUAAAAAUUGAGUACUUUUUCUUGUACUUGCCAUUAGAAUAAUGCCCAAAUCUAUCAUUUUUGGAAUCAUAUCCAUACUCAUUUAAAAAAUUUGGAGUGCUUGGAGAAUUAAAACUGUAAUAGUUACUGGAAUUCCUUAAAUUGUUUUAAAUCUUAACUACAAUGAAGCUCUUCUGUACAGUGAGUCUGAUGUGAUGUGUAACAAGUAUAAAUAUUUAGCUUAUGGAUUCACCUUGACUCAUCAUUCUGGAAUGCUUUGGAGUAGGAGCUCUCAACCAUCCUAAAGCUGUAGCCCUUUAAUCCAGUUCCUUAUGCUGUGGUGAGCUUCAUAAGUGUAACUUAUUUUGUUGUCACUUCAUAAGUGUAACUUUGCUACUCAUAAUAUAAAUAUUUGAUAUGCAGGGUAUUGAAAAUUAACCCAUAUGAAAGGGUAAUUCUACCACCAAAGCUUCAGCCCACAGGUUAAGAACCACUGCUUUGGAAUAUUGCCCAAUAAAUUAGGACAUUAUUAAAUAUCAAAUAAAACAUACAGCCAUGGACAAACAGACACACCAACAGGAAUAAGAAGACAGAUAGACAGGCAGAAAUAGAAGAAAGCCCUACCUG
rnacentral:lncRNA from 1 species